CCUACGGGAGGCAGCAGUGAGGAAUAUUGGUCAAUGGACGUAAGUCUGAACCAGCCAUGCCGCGUGCAGGAUGACGGCUCUAUGAGUUGUAAACUGCUUUUGUACGAGAAUAAUAUUUCUUACGUGUAGGGAUUUGAAUGUAUCGUACGAAUAAGGAUCGGCUAACUACGUGCCAGCAGCCGCGGUAAUACGUAGGGGGCGAGCGUUGUCCGGAAUGACUGGGCGUAAAGGGAGGGUAGGCGGCAUAUUAAGUUAUGUGUGAAAGCCCGCGGCUCAACCGCGGAAUUGCACAGAAAACUGGUAAGCUGGAGUGCAGGAGAGGUAAGUGGAAUUCCCGGUGUAGCGGUGGAAUGCGUAGAUAUCGGGAGGAACACCAGAGGCGAAGGCGACUUACUGGACUGUAACUGACGCUGAGGCUCGAAGGCGUGGGGAGCAAACAGGAUUAGAUACCCUUGUAGUC
rnacentral:rRNA from 1 species